rnacentral:rRNA from 1 species
UACGAAGGGGGCUAGCGUUGCUCGGAAUUACUGGGCGUAAAGGGCGCGUAGGCGGCCUCUUAAGUCGAACGUGAAAUCCCCGGGCUCAACCCGGGAACUGCGUCCGAUACUGGGAGGCUUGAAUCCGGGAGAGGGAUGUGGAAUUCCAGGUGUAGCGGUGAAAUGCGUAGAUAUCUGGAGGAACACCGGUGGCGAAGGCGGCAUCCUGGACCGGUAUUGACGCUGAGGCGCGAAAGCUAGGGGAGCAAACGGG